rnacentral:rRNA from 1 species
GACAGAGGGUGCAAACGUUUGUUCGGAAUUGACUGGGCGUAAGCGCGUGUAGGCGGUUGUCCAAGUUGGAUGUGAAGCCUUGAGCUCAACUCAAGAAAUGCAUUCAGGAGCUGGAUGACUAGAGGACCGGAGAGGAUAGUGGAAUUCCCAGUGUAGUGGUGAAAUUCGGUAGAUGAUUGGGUGGAACACCAGUGGCGAAGCGCCUGCCUGGCGUGAUUACUGA